UACGGGGGGGGCAAGCGUUGUUCGGAAUUACUGGGCGUAAAGGGCUCGUAGGCGGCCAACUAAGUCAGACGUGAAAUCCCUCGGCUUAACCGGGGAACUGCGUCUGAUACUGGUUGGCUUGAGUGUGGGAGAGGGAUGCGGAAUUCCAGGUGUAGCGGUGAAAUGCGUAGAUAUCUGGAGGAACACCGGUGGCGAAGGCGGCAUCCUGGACCAUUACUGACGCUGAGGAGCGAAAGCCAGGGG
rnacentral:rRNA from 1 species